rnacentral:lncRNA from 1 species
CCGCAAUGUCUGGGUAGGGGAGACUGUGUCAGGAGUGGCUGAAAUUUGCUAUCAAUACCAGUAUUGAACUGUGUCUAUUCAAGCCACGAAACACCUCCUGACCCCAAGAAAAGAAGGAAAAAAGAAAAAAGGAAAGAGGAAAGGGAAAAAGAAGAAUGAAGGAAGAAAGGAGGAAGGAAGAAGAAAAAGGAAGAAGAAAGCUGCAAGGAAGGAGGGAAAGAAGGAGGAAAGAGGAAGAACAGAAGGAACUUUUAAAGCCCAGGAACACAUGCUGUCAGAGUGGUGACGUCAUGGCCCCUGCCCAUUGGCUGUCGGAGCAGUGACAUCAUCAUACCUGCUGGAAGUUGCUGCCAUACCCCUGAGAGAGAAUGAGACAGAAGUAACAUGUUAACAUUGUCACGAACAGAGUUUUCACCUUGAAGAUGCCUUGAAAGUGUAUCGGGGCCCCAGAGCUCUCUGGACCACUUUGAGAACCACUCAGUCCUCUAAACUGCUGAAAACUGGUGCCUUUGUGAACACAAAUCAGGGCAACUUGGAGUUUCUGUGCUGGAAGGACGGCUUCAGAGGAGCUCAUCGUGGCCAGAAAAAUGCAGGAGGAUGAAGAGGUGAAUCUGGGAGGCAGACAGGAACAAUCAACUGAACAAAUACAGGAUGCCAGCCUGUGUGAAGUGUAGCAGAGGGCGUGCAAAGACAUCGCUCUGCCCUCGGGCUUCUGAAGAAGCCUGUGCGCGCGCGGCCAGGAAUGCAGGGCGCAGCGACCUCUCGACCCACGGCCAGCGCACCGCCCCAGCGCCACAGCCUGGGAUCCCAGAGCCACAGCCUGGGAUCCCUGAGCCACAGCCUGGGAUCCCUGAGCCGGCCCGGCCGCCACGAACACUCAGGGCCACGUGGCCUGACGUCUGCAGUGGGAGAUUCAGACGGUAAGCAUUCAAAGUGAGGCGAGAGAGCCAAGCAGCGCCGCCGGGACACACCGGGGCCACUCUCACGCUUCGGCCCUGGGGAUGUGCGCACCGGCACACACAGCAGGGUGUAUGCACACAAAAGGGUGCGCACACACACAGGGGCGCACACGCAGCCUUUGCAUGCACAGAAACACCUCAGGUGGGGCACACAUACACACAUUGGUGUACAAACACACACUAUGGUCUUUUCAAACCGAUGCACAUAGUAGGUGGUUUUUGCACACAAGGAGACCUACACUCACAUUCCAGAAGCCUGCACAUUGUGCACCCCUACCCACGUAUAACUCCAGUGGUGUACACACAAAACAUAGCUGGUUGUGUACCCAAAUAAAAGGGGCGCACAUAUCCAUGGCACAGCGUGCACACAGGCACAAUAGUGGAGUGUUGUACUCACGAGGGACUCCAAACACAGCUCCAUCGCCUUGGCGGACAGAGGCUCACAGAGGGCCCGAAGUCCUGGACACAGAAUGCCAGCCCCUGGCUCCCUGGGCUGGAGGAGAAACCUUGGUUCCUCCCUCCCUUCUUAGCCCCCGCCCAUCCCGGCCUGGCCUCUCAGGACUGAGUCUCCUGCAGAUGUGAAGGGCUGGGAAAAGCUGCACAGAGAGGACGUUGAGGGGUGCAGUGGGGGGCCUCUUUUGGGGCUUGUGUGUGUGUUAAACCGUGACAUGAGGGGCUAAAGGACUGGAAGCUGUUGCCUGGAGAACCGGAGUGCCCAUAGGGGCUCCAAGGCUGAUCCAAGCAGCGCCUGGCCUCCCCAGUCCUGCUCCUGGCCGCGGGUGGCCGCCAGCCAGCCCUGUGUCCAUGCCAGCUCCACCACCUCCCUCUGGACACAGUGUUCUCUCUUGGGAUACGGGGCAAACGUGAGCAUCCCAGCCCCGUGGGAACCAGGGCAUCCUGCCAACCCUUUCAUUCAUUCACUUAUCCAUCCAGUCAUUUAUUCAUUCAUUCAGGAACUGUUUGCUGACUGCCUACAACAUGCCAGGCACCACAUGCCAGCAGAGGCCAUCGAGACACUCUGCCUCUGUCCCCAGUGCCCCACAUAUUUCCAGCUCACAGAUACGUUUUGUUUGGCCUUGCGACAAUUUUAAAGCUUGUAAAAUAAUAAAGUAAUAUAAUUUUAGUAAUAUUAAAAUGACAUUAAUUAAAAUUAUGUGAACCCUGAAAAUCUGAGACCGGUCUCAGUUAAUUUAAAAAGUUUACUUGGCUGGGUGUGGAGGCUCACGCCUGUAAUCUCAGCACUUUGGGAGGCUGAGGCGGGCGGAUCACA